rnacentral:rRNA from 1 species
UCCGUCGGGUGCAAGCGUUACUCGGACUUACUGGGCGUAAGGCGUGCGCAGGCGGUGCUGUAAGACAGAUGUGAAAUCCCCGGGCUCAACCUGGGAACUGCAUUUGUGACUGCAUCGCUGGAGUGCGGCAGAGGGGGAUGGAAUUCCGCGUGUAGCAGUGAAAUGCGUAGAUAUGCGGAGGAACACCGAUGGCGAAGGCAAUCCCCUGGGCCUGCACUGACGCUCAUGCACGAAAGCAUGGGGAGCGAACAGG